rnacentral:lncRNA from 1 species
AUGUACUGGGAGGAGUCUACUUUUGGAGCAGGAGCUUGUUAUGAAGAGAGGAACUGGUCCACAGCUGGAUGCUUAACUUUGCAUGACUUCACCACUUGCAAGCUGAAGCACCACUGGCAGCACAGAGAAGAGGUGACUAUAAGACAUUUAUUCCGGUUUAAAAUGACUAAUUUGCUGGUCUCCGUGGGAGCUGCUUUCAGCUGAGGCUGACAGUGGUGGAUGGAAACCCUAGGUGGGUGUUUUUCUGUGAUGGUUUUCUGUGAUCUCAAUUUGCACAGUUCCUGCCACUGUCAAGCUGGAGGGACUGAUCGCUGCGGGAAAGCAGCUUUUGUUGAGCUCAGCUUCUUCCAGGUCCUUGGUUCUGGUUACUCUGAAAACCAGAAGUUGUGCUAGAAGCUCAGCUCUGAAAUGUUCAGGGCAAGUCAGCUGAGUUGUCAGGAAGGGGCUCAUCAUGUGAGGGGUCUGGAUCUUCGUACAAUGCGGAAAACCGGGAGGGAGCCAAGGGAUCUUGUGGGGAAUGCUGAUACUAGAGUGCUCAGGGGAGCCGGGCACAGCAUAGGAAAGGGCAGGGGGAAGAAACUCGCCUGAGAAUAGCUAGGCGUAAAGGUGCUCUUAAGAAGCAUCUUACGGAGAGUAUAUGGCAGAUUUUGGCUCUUCUGUAAUUUUGAGCCUCUGUUGUCUAUUGAGGCAGUUCUUAGACUCUUAUGCUUGACCCCCUGGAAAAUAAGGCAUUGCUCUGUAACACCAACAAUAUCAUUUGAGGUAAUCUGAAAAGCUGCAGGGUACAGUCUUCAGAAGUCAGUGUGAACUGCUCUACUUAUCUCGUUUUAUUUGUUUUUAGAGAACAUUCACAGAGCUUUGAAUGGGACACGGAGCUAAGUCACUGGUGGG